rnacentral:rRNA from 1 species
CCUACGGGAGGCUGCAGUGAGGAAUAUUGGUCAAUGGCCGAGAGGCUGAACCAGCCAUGCCGCGUGAAGGAAGACGGCUUUCGGGUUUUAAACUUCUUUUUUCAAGGGAGAAUAGGAGUCGAUGCCUGACGAAUAAGCCACGGCUAGCUACGUGCCAGCAGCCUCGGUACUACGUAGGAGGCAAGGUUUUUCCGGAUUUACUGGGGGUAAACGGCGUUUAGCCGGAUUAAAAGUCAGAUGUGAAAUCCUGCGGGUUAAACGCAGAAGUGGAUUUGAAACUGUUGAUCUUGAGUACUGGAGAGGCAGACGGAAUUCCUGGUGUAGCGGUGAAAUGCGUAGAUAUUAGGAGGAACACCAGUGGCGAAGGCGGUCUGCUGGACAGCAACUGACGGUGAGGCGCGAAAGCGUGGGGAGCAAACAGGAUUAGAUACCCUAGUAGUC